rnacentral:rRNA from 1 species
GAAUGCUGACAUAAGUAACGAUAAAGCGGGUGAAAAGCCCGCUCGCCGGAAGACCAAGGGUUCCUGUCCAACGUUAAUCGGGGCAGGGUGAGUCGACCCCUAAGGCGAGGCCGAAAGGCGUAGUCGAUGGGAAACAGGUUAAUAUUCCUGUACUUGGUGUUACUGCGAAGGGGGGACGGAGAAGGCUAUGUUGGCCGGGCGACGGUUGUCCCGGUUUAAGCGUGUAGGCUGGUUUUCCAGGCAAAUCCGGAAAACCAAGGCUGAGGCGUGAUGACGAGGCACUACGGUGCUGAAGCGACAAAUGCCCUGCUUCCAGGAAAAGCCUCUAAGCAUCAGGUAACAUCAAAUCGUACCCCAAACCGACACAGGUGGUCAGGUAGAGAAUACCAAGGCGCUUGAGAGAACUCGGGUGAAGGAACUAGGCAAAAUGGUGCCGUAACUUCGGGAGAAGGCACGCUGAUAUGUAGGUGAAGCGACUUGCUCGUGGAGCUGAAAUCAGUCGAAGAUACCAGCUGGCUGCAACUGUUUAUUAAAAACACAGCACUGUGCAAACACGAAAGUGGACGUAUACGGUGUGACGCCUGCCCGGUGCCGGAAGGUUAAUUGAUGGGGUUAGCGGCAACGCGAAGCUCUUGAUCGAAGCCCCGGUAAACGGCGGCCGUAACUAUAACGGUCCUAAGGUAGCGAAAUUCCUUGUCGGGUAAGUUCCGACCUGCACGAAUGGCGUAAUGAUGGCCAGGCUGUCUCCACCCGAGACUCAGUGAAAUUGAACUCGCUGUGAAGAUGCAGUGUACCCGCGGCAAGACGGAAAGACCCCGUGAACCUUUACUAUAGCUUGACACUGAACAUUGAGCCUUGAUGUGUAGGAUAGGUGGGAGGCUUUGAAGUGUGGACGCCAGUCUGCAUGGAGCCGACCUUGAAAUACCACCCUUUAAUGUUUGAUGUUCUAACGUUGGCCCGUAAUCCGGGUUGCGGACAGUGUCUGGUGGGUAGUUUGACUGGGGCGGUCUCCUCCUAAAGAGUAACGGAGGAGCACGAAGGUUGGCUAAUCCUGGUCGGACAUCAGGAGGUUAGUGCAAUGGCAUAAGCCAGCUUGACUGCGAGCGUGACGGCGCGAGCAGGUGCGAAAGCAGGUCAUAGUGAUCCGGUGGUUCUGAAUGGAAGGGCCAUCGCUCAACGGAUAAAAGGUACUCCGGGGAUAACAGGCUGAUACCGCCCAAGAGUUCAUAUCGACGGCGGUGUUUGGCACCUCGAUGUCGGCUCAUCACAUCCUGGGGCUGAAGUAGGUCCCAAGGGUAUGGCUGUUCGCCAUUUAAAGUGGUACGCGAGCUGGGUUUAGAACGUCGUGAGACAGUUCGGUCCCUAUCUGCCGUGGGCGCUGGAGAACUGAGGGGGGCUGCUCCUAGUACGAGAGGACCGGAGUGGACGCAU